rnacentral:rRNA from 1 species
UACGUAGGGGGCUAGCGUUGUCCGGAAUCAUUGGGCGUAAAGCGCGUGUAGGCGGUCCGGUAAGUCCGCUGUGAAAGUCGAGGGCUCAACCCUCGAAUGCCGGUGGAUACUGUCGGGCUAGAGUACGGGAGAGGCGAGUGGAAUUCCUGGUGUAGCGGUGAAAUGCGCAGAUAUCAGGAGGAACACCAAUUGCGAAGGCAGCUCGCUGGGACGUUACUGACGCUGAGACGCGAAAGCGUGGGGAGCAAACAGG